AAACACGUGAAGCUGGCAACUCCCACUACAUUGAUGUGACCAAGAAGGGUAAAGGAAAAGCAUUACUACUUGUUAUUGGGAAAUCCCUAUAUACAUUAACCUCCCUCCUCAACGGACAGGCAAACCUGCAAAAAUGUUCAACCCUUUCUCGCAUUCGAAAAGGCACCCUCAACAUAAACUCUCGAAAUACUCAGCUUUAUUUCCCCCCGAUAAUACCUCAGCAAAUAAGCCAC
rnacentral:lncRNA from 1 species